GUAUGAGCGCAGCGGCGGACCUGUGAGGGGAUCCGACUUGCCGGCAGAACUUAGGCUGCGGGACCCCGGGCACUGUUGCUGCUGCGGGAGACUGUGGGCUGUUUAGUGCCAUGCAUCCUUUACAGUGUGUCCUCCAAGUGCAGAGGUCUCUGGGUUGGGGACCAUUGGCCUCUGUGUCUUGGCUGACGCUGAGGAUGUGCAGGGCACACAGCAGUCUCUCUAGUACCAUGUGUCCCAGUCCAGAGAGGCAGGAGGAUGGAGCUCGGAAGGAUUUCAGCUCCAGGCUGGCUGCUGGACCGACUUUUCAACAUUUUUUAAAAAGUGCCUCAGCUCCUCAGGAGAAGCUGUCUUCAGAAGUGGAAGACCCACCUCCCUAUCUCACGAUGGAUGAACUUCUUGGAAGGCAGAGAAAAGUCUACCUCGAGACCUAUGGCUGCCAGAUGAAUGUGAAUGACACAGAGAUAGCCUGGUCCAUCUUACAGAAGAGUGGCUACCUGCGAACCAGUAACCUCCAGGAGGCAGAUGUGAUUCUCCUUGUCACAUGCUCUGUCAGGGAGAAGGCUGAGCAGACCAUCUGGAACCGUUUACAUCAGCUUAAAGCCUUGAAGACAAGGUGGCCCCGCUCCCGGGUUCCUCUGAGGAUUGGAAUUCUAGGCUGCAUGGCUGAGAGGUUGAAGGAGGAGAUUCUCAACAGAGAGAAAAUGGUAGAUAUUUUGGCUGGUCCUGACGCCUACCGGGACCUUCCCCGGCUGCUGGCUGUUGCUGAGUCGGGUCAGCAAGCUGCCAACGUGCUGCUCUCUCUGGACGAGACCUAUGCUGAUGUCAUGCCAGUCCAGACAAGCGCCAGUGCCACGUCUGCCUUUGUGUCGAUCAUGCGAGGCUGUGACAACAUGUGUAGCUACUGCAUUGUUCCUUUCACCCGGGGCAGGGAGAGGAGUCGGCCUAUUGCCUCCAUUCUAGAGGAAGUGAAGAAGCUUUCUGAGCAGGGGCUGAAAGAAGUGACACUUCUUGGUCAGAAUGUUAAUAGUUUUCGGGACAAUUCAGAGGUCCAGUUCAACAAUGCAGUACCUACCAAUCUCAGUCGUGGCUUUACCACCAACUAUAAAACCAAGCAAGGAGGACUUCGUUUUGCUCAUCUUCUGGAUCAGGUCUCCAGAGUAGAUCCUGAAAUGAGGAUCCGCUUUACCUCUCCCCACCCCAAGGAUUUUCCCGAUGAGGUUCUGCAGCUGAUUCAUGAGAGAGAUAACAUCUGUAAACAGAUCCACCUGCCAGCCCAGAGUGGAAGCAGCCGUGUGUUGGAGGCCAUGCGGAGGGGAUAUUCAAGAGAAGCUUAUGUGGAGUUAGUUCACCAUAUUAGAGAAUCUAUUCCAGGUGUGAGCCUUAGCAGCGAUUUCAUUGCUGGCUUUUGUGGUGAGACGGAGGAAGAUCACGUCCAGACAGUCUCUUUGCUCCGGGAAGUUCAGUACAACAUGGGCUUCCUCUUUGCCUACAGCAUGAGACAGAAGACACGGGCAUAUCAUAGGCUGAAGGAUGAUGUCCCGGAAGAGGUAAAAUUAAGGCGUUUGGAGGAACUCAUCACUAUCUUCCGAGAAGAAGCAACAAAAGCCAAUCAGACCUCUGUGGGCUGUACCCAGUUGGUGCUAGUGGAAGGGGAAUACCAGAGAGAUGAUGUUGCAUUCUAAUCGUAUACUGUGAGGUGGCAUACAAUUUUGAUUUGUCUCAUUGCUGAUGAUGUUAACUUUGAAAACAUGGAAGAUACUGUCUGCCAGCCUUCUUGACUGUAAAGUUACUCUUUUUCCUUUUGUAACUACUCAGUAAACGCUCUGCCACUGACCUGUGUGGCAGGAAUGAUGGAAACCUUAAGGUGAUCUUCCCUGAUGCAGAGAUGGAGGAUGUCAAUAACCCUGGGCUCAGGGUCAGAGCCCAGCCUGGGGACUAUGUGCUGGUGAAGAUCACCUCGGCCAGUUCUCAGACACUUAGGGGCCAUGUUCUCUGCAGGACCACUCUGAGGGACUCUUCUGCAUAUUGCUGACCUGAGAGGAUGGCCUCAGAGCUGACUUGGGCAGUCCUCCCCAACAGGAAGGGGAGACAUUGCCGGCCACUGAGGAAAGAGGUCAUGAAGGUGGAGAUAAGCUGCAAGGCGCGAAGCAACUUUGUGUCAGUGGAAAACGUGUCUCUUUAAAGCUGCUAUGUGAACAGCUUUUACAGUCAUUAAAUUUACCUAAACUAAGGUUAA